rnacentral:rRNA from 1 species
AUUGAACGCUGGCGGCAGGCCUAACACAUGCAAGUCGAACGAGUGGCGGACGGUUGAGUAAUGUCUGGGAAACUGCCCGAUGGUGGGGGAUAACUACUGGAAACGGUAGCUCAUACCCCAUACCAUCGUAUUUUCCCCGAUGGGAUUAGCUAGGAGGUGGGGUAACGGCUCACCUAGGCGACGAUCCCUAGCUGGUCUGAGAGGAUGACCAGCCACACUGGAACUGAGACACGGUCCAGACUCCUACGGGAGGCAGCAGUGGGGAAUAUUGCACAAUGGGCGCAAGCCUGAUGCAGCAAUGCCGCGUGUAUGAAGAAGGCCUUCGGGUUGUAAAGUACUUUCAGCGAGGAGGCGUUACUCGCAGAAGAAGCACCGGCUAACUCCGUGCCAGCAGCCGCGGUAAUAC